rnacentral:lncRNA from 1 species
UCAUGUUCUUUCUUCUUUGUCUUAGUUUUCCUCUAUACCAGGUUCUCAACCAGCAAAACACCUCUAAAAAACCCGCCACCUUCUCCUCCAAAGCUACCUAUAAUUGGAAACCUUCAUCAGAUCAACCAAGACCCGCACCUAGCACUGAGAUCUCUGGCUCAAAAAUAUGGUCCUGUCAUGCAACUCCACUUCGGAAGUGUUCCUGUUCUUGUUGUGUCCUCAGCUGAUGCAGCUAAGGAGAUCAUGAAGACCCAUGAUCUUGCUUUCGCGAACAGGCCUGACUCGACUAUCUGGAGCAGAAUCUUCUAUAAUGGCAAGGACGUGUCCUUUGCUCCGUAUAGUGAAUACUGGAGACAGGUGAAAAUGAUUUGUGUCACUCAGCUGCUGAGUAACAAAAGAGUGCGUUCAUUUCACAAUGUUAGGGAACAAGAAGUGGCCCUUUUAGUCCAAAAUAUUAAAGAUUCGAGAUCAAAAAUAAUUAAUUUGAGUGAGUUGUUUUCGACACAUCUAGGCAAUGUGGUGUCUAGGGUGGUCUUGGGAAGAAAAUAUGCUAUGACUACUAAAGAUGGUGUAGAAAAUUCAUUUCGGGAACUGUUUCAGAAUAUUGCUCAGUUGAUAGGCUAUUUCAGCUUUGGUGAUUAUAUUCCAUGGCUAUUCUGGGUCGAUUCUCUAACCGGGUUGAAGGGAAGGAUUGAGAAGGCAUUCUUCGAGGCUGAUGCGUUUCUUGAAGGUGUUGUCAGAGAUCACAGUGUUGCAUUGGAUAACGGGGCUUCAAGUGAUGACCUAUUGUACAAUUUGCUAGAGAUUCAGAAACAGGACAGCAAUCCUGAUUUUUCUAUCGAUAACGAGUCCAUUAAAGGACUAAUCUUGGUAACUACACAAAAUCUCUGUAACUUUAGCUUAUCUCAUGAUCAUUUCUAUAUUUCAUAGAGCGUGUUUUUUUAAUAACUUAUAAGUCAUCUGUAAUAUAAAAUUACGCAGACAGACAAUUUAAACUGAUCAAUUAUCACUUUAAGUCACUGUAAGUCAUAAGUUAUAAUUUUUAGACUGCCGGGCUCAUAGUUCUUGUCAUCAGUUGAUAAUUCGUUUGACAUUUUAUAUAUGCCUUGCAGAAUAUGUUCUUUGAUGGAACUGAUUCGACGUCUAUAGUAUUAGAGUGGACUAUGGCAGCACUCUUACAAAAUCCAAACGUCAUGUGUAAAUUGCAAAAUGAAGUGAGGGAGAUAGGAAGGGGAAAAGCAACAAUAUCUGAGGAUGAUUUGGAGAAAAUGCACUACUUGAAAGCAGUGAUCAAGGAGAGUACACGGAUUUAUACUCCACUUCCGCUACUAGUUGCUAGACAAGCAAUGCAAGAUGCAAAGGUUAUGGGAUACGACAUUAAAGUCGGGACACAAGUACUGAUUAAUGCUUGGGCAAUCGCAAAAGACCCUGCUGUGUGGGAUAAGCCAGAGGAAUUCAUCCCUGAGAGAUUCUUGAACAGUCCUACUGAUUUUAAAGGCCUACAUUUUGAGUUAAUUCCGUUUGGAGCAGGGCGGAGGGGCUGCCCUGGAAUUCAAUAUGCCAUGGCCAUCAAUGAGCUCACAUUAGCAAACUUGGUGCACAUAUUUGAUUUUGCAUUGCCUGAUGGAAAGAGACUGGAAGAUCUGGACAUGGCUGCUGAGUCUGGCAUGACUCUCCAUAAAAAAUCUCCUCUGUUGGUGAUUGCAACACCGCGUGUCUAAUUAGCACUAUUCUUCGUAAAACAAGUCACGUUCAUCUCAUUGUUGGACGUCAAAAUAAAGUGAGGGAGAAGCUUUUUAUCUGUGCCCUUUUUCGUGCUUUAGCUAGAAGGGACAUCAAUGUGAUGCUUGGUGUUUAUUAAUCAAGUUUUGUUUUCGAUCAUAGUUUGUUUUGAUGCUUCAUGCUUAUUGUUUUUUGGCUUGCUUCGGGGGUAUGCCCCCAGAAUAUGUGGCCUGUUUUAAUUCAAUAAAAGAUGCAUGCCAAACAAUAUGCUUGUAUUGUUUCUUUUCUAGCAAUCAAUCUAGUUUCGACACACGCAUCCAACCUUCUUGCAUCUUUCCACCAGAUUAAUCAAGACCCGCACAUAUCACUUAAAUCUUUGGCUAAAAAUAAAGGGUCCUGUCAUGCAAACUGCACCUGGGAGUGUUCCUGUUCUUGCUGUGUCUUCAGCUAAUGCAGCUAUGAGCUAUGCAGAUUAUGAAAUAAUGAAAACGCAGAAUCUUGCUUUCGCAAGCAGGCCUGUCUCAAUAGAGCAAUGCUACAUGCACAAAAUUAGGUACAAAAUUUUCCACAAAAUGAUAUGACACUUAAUAUGGGAUGUUUUAAUUGGUGCUAUUUACGCGAAUACAAGAGCCCAUUAAUCAAAACUCAUGUCAUUUUGUGAAAGAUUUUGUAUCCAAUUUUGUGGAUGAAGUAUUUUCUGUCUCCAUAUUUUGGAGUUAAAUCCUCUAUAACGGUAGGAAGUGGCCUUUGCUCCUUAUACUGAAUAUUGGAUGCAGAUGAAAAGUAUUUGUGUUUUCCAGCUCCUGAAAACAAAAGAGCUCGUUCAUUUCCCAACGUUAGAAANUUUAUCACAUUAUUUUUUGUACAAAGAUGGGAAAACAACAGGUACGGACAUGUUUGGUCGUUCUUACUUUAUCAGAAUUAUUAUAUUUAUAUAAUAUUUUUAGUAACAAAUUUCGUGAAAUGUUUUAAAAAAAUUAUCUGCAGAAAUAUGUAAGUUAUUUAUAAAAAUAUACAUGUAUCUUUCAGAAACAAAUAUAUUAUUUUUGAAAAUAUGAUAAAUUAAGUCGGUUCAUAUAAUUAAUACUAUUAAAAAAGUGACAUUCUGCAUUUAGUGCUCAUCCAACCAAAAUGUAUCUGUUCAGGGACCAGGAGACCCGACAAAAUCUAUAAUAUUUAUUUGUGAAUUAUAUCGCAAAAUCAAAAUAUUGACCAAAUGAAUGGGAUAAGGCCAUAAGGGUACAUCAAGCCCUUACAGAAUUUAUGACAUUAUCGUGAUGUUAAAUUUGUUUGGGUAAUUUUGACUUAAUGACUUUAAGAUUAUUAAAAAUAUAAAAAUAAAAUUGAUUUAUUUAGGGAUAAUUUUUAUCUGAAAAAGGUAAAAAAAAUUAACUCAAACUAACUUCUGGCUUUAAGUCUUCUAGCUUAUUUCUGACUUUGAGCUAUUUUCUAAAUAUUACAAAUAGACGUUUUUCAGCUUAGAGUUAGAUAGAGCUUUUAAGUCCGGGCAUAAAGCCGGGACAAACAGGCUCUCUACCUCUCUACCUCAGAAUACAGGACAAGAACCAAAGAGGCAAUGAACAUGUAAAACACUAAAACCUCUGCAAGAUCACUAAACCAAAUUGUAGCAACCAUGGUACUAGACCAACAACUAUUGUUCCUGUCCUUGCGCUCUCUAUUCUUUGUCUUAGUUUUUCUGUAUAUAUGGUUUUCAACCAGAACAACCGGCAAAAAUCUGCCUCCUUCUCCUCGAAAAUUACCUAUAAUUGGAAAUCUUCAUCAGGUCAAACAAGACCCGCAUGUAGCACUAAGAUCUUUGUCUCAAAAAUAUGGUCCUGUCAUGCAACUCCACUUCGGAAGUGUGCCUGUUCUUGUUGUGUCCUCAGCUGAUGCAGCUAAGGAGAUCAUGAAGACCCAUGAUCUCACUUUCGCGAACAGGCCUGACUCGACUAUCUGGAGCAGAAUCUUCUAUAAUGGCAAGGACGUGUCCUUUGCUCCUUAUAGUGAAUACUGGAGACAGGUGAAAAGUAUUUGUGUCACUCAGCUGCUGAGUAACAAAAGAGUUCAAUCAUUUCACAACGUUAGAGAACAAGAAGUAGGCCUUUUGGUCCAACAUAUCAAAGAUUCGGGUUCAGAUAUAGUAAAUUUGAGUGAUUUGACCUAUACACUUCAGAGUAAUGUGGUGUCCAGGAUUGCUCUAGGAAAAAAAUAUACUAAUUCUACUGAAGACGGCGAGGAAAAUUCAUUUAGGGAACUGUUUCAGAAUAUAGCUCAGUUGAUUGGUUAUUUCAGUUUUAGUGAUUAUAUUCCAUGGCUGUACUGGAUUGAUUCUUUAAGCGGUCUGAAGGGGAGGGUUGAGAAAGCAGCUAAUGAGAUCGAUGCUUUCCUAGAAGGUGUGAUCAGAGAUCACAGUAGUGCAUUAAGUAGCGGUGCUUCAAGCGAUGACCUUCUGAAAACUUUGCUUGAGAUUCAGAAACAGGAUUCAGAUUCUGCCUUCUCUAUUGAUAAUGAUUCCAUUAAAGGCAUUAUCUUGGUAGGCACAAAAAUUCUAUCGGCUCUUAUUUUCAGAUGAUCUUUUCAUACCGUUUAUUUACUUUUGUUAAGAUAUAUAGGGUCAUGCUUCACCACAAAUUUUUUUUCGUAACAGGUCAUGUAGGAUUUUAUUUAUAGAUUGAAGAUUAAACCAUCGUUAAUUACUUGGACUCCGCCUUAACAACAGCCAUUUAUGAAUGUUACUUUUCACUUAAUUGGUCAUUUGACAUGUUUUAUCUAUCUUGUAGAAUAUGUACUUUAAUGGGACUGAUUCAACAUCAGCAGUAUUGGAGUGGACAAUGGCAGCAUUGAUUAAACACCCGGACAUCAUGUAUAAGUUGAAGAAUGAGGUGAGAGAGAUAGGAAGGGGGAAAUCAAGAAUUGAUGGGGAUGAUCUGGAGCAAAUGCCCUACUUGAGAGCCGUGAUUAAGGAAAGUAUGAGACUUUAUACUCCAGUUCCGCUACUAGUAGCUAGAGAAGCGAUGCAGGAUGUGAAAGUCAUGGGAUACGACAUGAAAGCUGGAACGCAGGUACUGAUCAAUGCUUGGGCAAUUGCAACAGACCCUGCUUUGUGGGAUAACCCAGAGGAAUUUAUCCCUGAGAGAUUCUUGAACAGCCCUCUUGAUUAUAAAGGUCUGCAUUUCGAGUUCAUUCCAUUCGGAGCAGGAAGAAGAGGCUGCCCUGGAAUCCAAUAUGCCAUGGCCAUCAAUGAGCUUGCAUUAGCAAACUUGGUGCACGUAUUUGAUUUUGCAUUGCCUGAUGGAAAAAAAUUUGAGGAUUUGGAUAUGGCUUCUGAGACAGGAAUGACUGUUCAUAAAAAAUCACCUCUACUGGUAAUUGCAACUCCACGCAUCUAGUCAUCUUUCCAUUCCUUAAUAAGUCCCAAAUGUUACUGUAUGGUAAUGUCUAAGUUAUGCAAGACAAUGCAACAUUGUAUUAUUCAAAUAGACUAUUGAUUGUAAUAUUGUGACGAUGAUUUGUAAUAUUGUAACCAGGUGAUUUGUUGCCUGUUUGUUGCCUGUUUGUUCCUGUUUGUUCGCUAAAAUAGCUUUGUAUAUAGAUCCUGUCCUCUCAUAGUAUCAUUCACAUAAAGAUAGCAAAAUAGCACAAUGGCAUCAAGUGCAACAACUUAAAGUUUGUUGCAGUGGCAAAAUCAUUGCGUGGAGAUAACUAUAUGCUCGAAAUUUAAGAAGUGAAUAGUUCUCUGAUUUUGUGAGACCUAAAACAUAUUUGGAAACUACAGCUAGCUACUGUUUCUUGUCUUAUGGUGGGGAAUUCAGACAAAGUGCUGAAUAUUUCAUGUGACACAAACAGCAAUUUUUCAUGUUGUUGCAACAACUUAUUAGCUGCCGUUGUCAUUAGAGUCCUGACACACCGGAAGUGUUUGGUGGAGUUUUAUUAACAUUUGGUAUCUGUAGAAAACUCGACCAGUACAUUGUAACAAAAUACAUAAGCAAGUCUAACCCCUAAAACAACUCCAUUCGUUGUUUGUUCCAAAUCAUAUUAUUUUUUAAUUAAUUGGUGAAGUAAACGAGUGAGCAUUGGUAACCUUGAUUUCCCAACGUUAGAGAAGAAGUAAGCCUUUUGGUCGAAAAUAUCAGAAGUUGGGGAUCAAAAAUAGUGACUUUGAGCGUUUUGUUCUAUACACUUCUCAAUAAUGCAAUGUCUAGGAUUGCUCUAGGAAUUUUACUUAACGCGGUGAAGAAUGUGUUAGAACAUAAUAUGAUCCUCGCAGAUCCAUUUCCUAACACUUUUGAGAUUUUAGGAGAAUUGGUCAGUAACAUGGUAUCAGAGCUAAGACGUGCGAGAUCACAAGAACUGUUCUAGAAUAUAGCUCAAUUGAUAGGGUAUCCAGUUUUAGUAACUAUAAUCCAUGGCUAUACUGGUUGAUUACUUGAUUCUCUAUCGAUAAUGAUUGAACAUUUAUAUGGUGUUUAGUUAUAUUUAUUUUCUUUUCUUUUGCAGUUUUUGCUAAUUUGUAUAUGAUCUUUACUCGCUAGAAUUUUCCUUUAAUGCAUAGUUUUGCUUCUGACUUUUAAGUGUGUCCCUCAUCAAGCAACUGUCGGCAGUUGCCAUAAAAAAGUCGUCUGAAGCUCUGCAACACCUCUAUUUUGAGCGGAUACACUUUAAUCUUCUUCUGCAAAUGUCGUGCAAUAAUUACUGUAUAAAUAGCAGUGGCCAAUAAUCAUGAUGCAGGUCGGUAACAGCUCCUUACCAAACUUCAUUCUGUUUUCUUGCCAAUGUAUACAAACGAUGGUAUAAUGGUACUUAUAAGCCACCAGUAGGAGAUGGCAUGGCUGAUUAUGUUUAUUUAUAAGAACAUCUGCGACCAUCCCGGUAAAAUGAUAGUCUUACAACUAUCGUGGUUAAAAUGAUCGUCUAAAAUGAUUAUUACUAUAAGCCAAAAAUACGUUAUUAAUGUAAGACUGAAAUGGAACGUGGUGACGCCGUAUUAGCUUCGUUUUCAUUUUAGUGCCCAGAAUUUCAAAUUUAUAAAUGAAUGGCUUAAGGACCACUUUUCUGAAUAUAAGACUAAUAUUUUUUUUCCCUCAAAAAAGUGCCCCUCGGCCUUCUUUUUGAUAAAUUAGAUGAAUAUAUGAUCGUCAUACCGCAAAUUUGAUAUUCCAGCCAUUAAAUGAUAAAGUACGGCUACCAAUUUAUACUUACAGUGAUAUUAUUUGCCUAAUCCCUGAACAUCUUGUUGACGAACUUUUCGCAUGGCACACCCCGCAUGCAUCCUACUUGUGUAUAUAUGUCACUUGGGAAAGUACAGAUUACUAAACCAAAUUGUUGAAGUCACAAUGGACCAACAAUCUUUACUUCUCUCUUCAUGUUCUUUCUUCUUUGUCUUAGUUUUCCUCUAUACCAGGUUCUCAACCAGCAAAACACCUCUAAAAAACCCGCCACCUUCUCCUCCAAAGCUACCUAUAAUUGGAAACCUUCAUCAGAUCAACCAAGACCCGCACCUAGCACUGAGAUCUCUGGCUCAAAAAUAUGGUCCUGUCAUGCAACUCCACUUCGGAAGUGUUCCUGUUCUUGUUGUGUCCUCAGCUGAUGCAGCUAAGGAGAUCAUGAAGACCCAUGAUCUUGCUUUCGCGAACAGGCCUGACUCGACUAUCUGGAGCAGAAUCUUCUAUAAUGGCAAGGACGUGUCCUUUGCUCCGUAUAGUGAAUACUGGAGACAGGUGAAAAUGAUUUGUGUCACUCAGCUGCUGAGUAACAAAAGAGUGCGUUCAUUUCACAAUGUUAGGGAACAAGAAGUGGCCCUUUUAGUCCAAAAUAUUAAAGAUUCGAGAUCAAAAAUAAUUAAUUUGAGUGAGUUGUUUUCGACACAUCUAGGCAAUGUGGUGUCUAGGGUGGUCUUGGGAAGAAAAUAUGCUAUGACUACUAAAGAUGGUGUAGAAAAUUCAUUUCGGGAACUGUUUCAGAAUAUUGCUCAGUUGAUAGGCUAUUUCAGCUUUGGUGAUUAUAUUCCAUGGCUAUUCUGGGUCGAUUCUCUAACCGGGUUGAAGGGAAGGAUUGAGAAGGCAUUCUUCGAGGCUGAUGCGUUUCUUGAAGGUGUUGUCAGAGAUCACAGUGUUGCAUUGGAUAACGGGGCUUCAAGUGAUGACCUAUUGUACAAUUUGCUAGAGAUUCAGAAACAGGACAGCAAUCCUGAUUUUUCUAUCGAUAACGAGUCCAUUAAAGGACUAAUCUUGGUAACUACACAAAAUCUCUGUAACUUUAGCUUAUCUCAUGAUCAUUUCUAUAUUUCAUAGAGCGUGUUUUUUUAAUAACUUAUAAGUCAUCUGUAAUAUAAAAUUACGCAGACAGACAAUUUAAACUGAUCAAUUAUCACUUUAAGUCACUGUAAGUCAUAAGUUAUAAUUUUUAGACUGCCGGGCUCAUAGUUCUUGUCAUCAGUUGAUAAUUCGUUUGACAUUUUAUAUAUGCCUUGCAGAAUAUGUUCUUUGAUGGAACUGAUUCGACGUCUAUAGUAUUAGAGUGGACUAUGGCAGCACUCUUACAAAAUCCAAACGUCAUGUGUAAAUUGCAAAAUGAAGUGAGGGAGAUAGGAAGGGGAAAAGCAACAAUAUCUGAGGAUGAUUUGGAGAAAAUGCACUACUUGAAAGCAGUGAUCAAGGAGAGUACACGGAUUUAUACUCCACUUCCGCUACUAGUUGCUAGACAAGCAAUGCAAGAUGCAAAGGUUAUGGGAUACGACAUUAAAGUCGGGACACAAGUACUGAUUAAUGCUUGGGCAAUCGCAAAAGACCCUGCUGUGUGGGAUAAGCCAGAGGAAUUCAUCCCUGAGAGAUUCUUGAACAGUCCUACUGAUUUUAAAGGCCUACAUUUUGAGUUAAUUCCGUUUGGAGCAGGGCGGAGGGGCUGCCCUGGAAUUCAAUAUGCCAUGGCCAUCAAUGAGCUCACAUUAGCAAACUUGGUGCACAUAUUUGAUUUUGCAUUGCCUGAUGGAAAGAGACUGGAAGAUCUGGACAUGGCUGCUGAGUCUGGCAUGACUCUCCAUAAAAAAUCUCCUCUGUUGGUGAUUGCAACACCGCGUGUCUAAUUAGCACUAUUCUUCGUAAAACAAGUCACGUUCAUCUCAUUGUUGGACGUCAAAAUAAAGUGAGGGAGAAGCUUUUUAUCUGUGCCCUUUUUCGUGCUUUAGCUAGAAGGGACAUCAAUGUGAUGCUUGGUGUUUAUUAAUCAAGUUUUGUUUUCGAUCAUAGUUUGUUUUGAUGCUUCAUGCUUAUUGUUUUUUGGCUUGCUUCGGGGGUAUGCCCCCAGAAUAUGUGGCCUGUUUUAAUUCAAUAAAAGAUGCAUGCCAAACAAUAUGCUUGUAUUGUUUCUUUUCUAGCAAUCAAUCUAGUUUCGACACACGCAUCCAACCUUCUUGCAUCUUUCCACCAGAUUAAUCAAGACCCGCACAUAUCACUUAAAUCUUUGGCUAAAAAUAAAGGGUCCUGUCAUGCAAACUGCACCUGGGAGUGUUCCUGUUCUUGCUGUGUCUUCAGCUAAUGCAGCUAUGAGCUAUGCAGAUUAUGAAAUAAUGAAAACGCAGAAUCUUGCUUUCGCAAGCAGGCCUGUCUCAAUAGAGCAAUGCUACAUGCACAAAAUUAGGUACAAAAUUUUCCACAAAAUGAUAUGACACUUAAUAUGGGAUGUUUUAAUUGGUGCUAUUUACGCGAAUACAAGAGCCCAUUAAUCAAAACUCAUGUCAUUUUGUGAAAGAUUUUGUAUCCAAUUUUGUGGAUGAAGUAUUUUCUGUCUCCAUAUUUUGGAGUUAAAUCCUCUAUAACGGUAGGAAGUGGCCUUUGCUCCUUAUACUGAAUAUUGGAUGCAGAUGAAAAGUAUUUGUGUUUUCCAGCUCCUGAAAACAAAAGAGCUCGUUCAUUUCCCAACGUUAGAAAGGAAGUAUUUUUUUCCUGUUAAAAAAGGUUGGUCCUUUUUUUUUUUGCUAAAUAGGAGGCAUUUUGGUCGAAUUAUCAGAGUUUCAGGUGUUUGGGGUCCAAGAAUAGUAAAUCUGAGUGCUUUAUGUUUACACUUGUCAAUACCAAUACUACUGUAGUCGUUGAAGAAAAUGCACUUGAGGAACUGUUUCAGAAAAUAGCUCAAAUAACAGUUGGUGAUUAAUUUACAUUCCAUGGCUACACUGGGAUAAUUCUCUUAGAAGUUUGAAGGGAAGGGUUGAAGGAAAGGGAAGGUGGUUUCCCAUGUACUUGUUCUCCUUUGAUAUACUCCCACACACAAUACCAUCCCAUUGCUUCCGGGGCAGAUUGGUUUGGCACUUAUUUUAAAGGCUUUUAUUAUUGGCUUCUGGACUUCCGAGGUGGUCAGUCCCCGAAAGUUAGUUAAGGAUUUUAACUUUUUUCGGUGACUUGAUUUUAUAUAUAAGACACUUUAAACGAUAAUUUAUAAAAUUUUAUUAUUCAAACACAUAAAUUAGAAAUUACUUUUCGCUUAUAAGUAACUUCUCACGUGAACAAUAACCACUUCUUUUGAGUUAUUAAAAAGGCCCGAAAUAUAGUCUUUUAACUUAUUUUAAAAAAUUGUAUAAUUUUUUUUUUCUGAGUUUGAGAACUGAUAGAAACCCCCAAAGUCACCCAUGAUUAUUAUCCCUUAGAUGGCGGAGGCAGUGAUGUAGAGUGGCUAACAACUGCAAAUGUCAUUUCGUCCUCUUGUCCGAAUACAUUCAGAUAUGAUCUAAGGUUGCAGCUAAUGCUUGCUAACAGUCUCAUCAACUCUUUAGUAAACGAGAUAAAAGAGCCGUCACAUAGUUGUCUCCGUACCCACAAUUGCAUGCAUUAUUGACUUCUUGCACACUAUCUUAUUCAUAGACAACAUAAGACUGAACGGUUCCAAUUUACGUAAGCUGAUUUCAAACCAAAGCGGACCCAGAAACUGUUAAUGCAAAGUGGAAAGGUACACUUGAGGCUAGUAAUGUCAGGACUGUGUAGUGAAUGCACAAUUCUUCUGACUUGAGAGAGUUGAGUUUCAACAAUAAAAUUUAUGUCACAUAACACAUAAUUCUGUUGUGUAGUUCUUGAUAUGAAUCCCCCAAGUGUUGGAACCUUGAUGAUGGAGCAACAAGCCUUGUUUCUGUCUUCAUGUUUGAUGUUCUUUGUCUUGGCUUUUCUGUAUAUAUGGUUGUCAGCCAGCAAAACAUCUAGCAAAAAUCUGCCACCGUCUCCUGGGAAGUUACCGAUAAUUGGUAAUCUUCAUCAGGUCAAUCAAGAUCCCCACAUAGCACUAAGAUCUUUGGCUAGAAAAUAUGGUCCUGUCAUGCAGCUUCAGUUUGGAAGUGUGCCUGUUCUUGUUGUGUCUUCAGCUGAUGCAGCUAAGGAGAUUAUGAAAACGCAUGAUCUUGCUUUCGCGAACAGGCCU